UUCAUAGUUCAGCAAGCAGUUCCCCCUCAGCAAAGAAGCCACAACUUAGAAGACUGUGAAUAGGUCACCCAGAUCUGCAGAUCUCAUUAAGGACUCAACCCUGUCCUAUAUGUCACUGUGCAAGAAAAGUGGCUACAAAUUUAAGGUGGAAAGAGAGAUUUGCUUAUUAGAUUCAGAGUAGAGAGGCACUAAUGGAAAGCAGAUGGUACGUGGCUCUGCAGAAGAGAUGGAAUGGAUGCAAAGAUUCUCCUUCCUCACCUACUCCAGCCAGGAAGAGGAAAGCUUAUUUCAGUCACUGCAAGGCUCUGGCAGCAUGCUGAGGAUGGAAAGGGGAAGCAGCACCAUGGUGCACUGGCACUGGCAGUGGGCAGGAAUUCAAAGGGAUGGAAGAUCAAGCAAAUCUAGUGGCAAAAGCAACCUGUAGAGGGCAGCCUCCACUUACAAAACGGAUUUCAGGCACCGCCGCCACUUCCUUCCCUUUUCUCUGGGUACAUCGGUUCUGACAGUGAAGGAAAAAAGCCGACCCGUACGUUAAACACUGUGCCCCUCCCAGGAAAGUACCGAUAAAAAUGAUGCGGGCAGGUACUGCCUUAUGUGUAGUCAUGGAACUGAGAGGAUCAAAUGUACUCAGUUCUCUACAAAGCAGAGACAUAAAAAAGUAAUUUGCUUUCUUGACACAUUCAAAAUUUAAGCCCUUUGAUUAAAGUAAACUCUUUAAAAGUCUUUCUCCAGGCCUCUGCAAUUUAAUUCCAUGGCUCGCAGUUUUCACAGCAAUUUGGAUGCGGAAAUUCAAAGAAAAUA